AACGAACGCUGGCGGCAGGCUUAACACAUGCAAGUCGAACGCACCUUUCGGGGUGAGUGGCAGACGGGUGAGUAACGCGUGGGAAUCUACCCUUCUCUACGGGAUAGCUCCGGGAAACUGGAAUUAAUACCGUAUACGUCCUGAGGGAGAAAGAUUUAUCGGGGAAGGAUGAGCCCGCGUUGGAUUAGCUAGUUGGUGGGGUAAAGGCCUACCAAGGCGACGAUCCAUAGCUGGUCUAAGAGGAUGAUCAGCCACAUUGGGACUGAGACACGGCCCAAACUCCUACGGGAGGCAGCAGUGGGGAAUAUUGGACAGUGGGCGCAAGCCUGAUCCAGCCAUGCCGCGUGAGUGAUGAAGGCCCUAGGGUUGUAAAGCUCUUUCAGCGGGGACGAUAAUGACGGUACCCACAGAAGAAGCCCCGGCUAACUUCGUG
rnacentral:rRNA from 1 species